ACAGGGAUUGCCCCAGUAACGGCGAGUGAAGCGGCAACAGCUCAAAUUUGAAAUCUGGCUCUCGGGCCCGAGUUGUAAUUUGUAGAGGAUGCUUUUGGUGAGGUGCCUUCCGAGUUCCCUGGAACGGGACGCCAUAGAGGGUGAGAGCCCUGUCUGGUUGGACGCCGAACCUCUGUAAAGCUCCUUCGACGAGUCGAGUAGUUUGGGAAUGCUGCUCUAAAUGGGAGGUAUAUGUCUUCUAAAGCUAAAUACCGGCCAGAGACCGAUAGCGCACAAGUAGAGUGAUCGAAAGAUGAAAAGAACUUUGAAAAGAGAGUUAAACAGUACGUGAAAUUGUUGAAAGGGAAGCGCUUGUGACCAGACUUGGGCUUGGUUGAUCAUCCGGGGUUCUCCCCGGUGCACUCUUCCGGCCCAGGCCAGCAUCAGUUCGCCCUGGGGGACAAAGGCAUCGGGAACGUGGCUCUCUCCGGGGAGUGUUAU
rnacentral:rRNA from 1 species